rnacentral:lncRNA from 1 species
ACGGACUUAUACAGUAGCAGUUGGUAAAAUAUAAUGGUAUUAAAAACAAAAUACAAUUUACUUUGUACUACCUUUUGUACUAACUUAUACAAUAACUGGUUCUACUGCUACUACCGAGUUGUUGUAAACUUCGGUAUCCUUACAUGAGAAAUAUAAACUAGAAUACAUUUGAAAAGAGAGAAAUUUUCUUGCUUGAGAUUUUUCGGUGUGU